rnacentral:lncRNA from 1 species
AAACCAACCCGACAUUAUAUAUAUAAUUUUAAAAUUUUAUUUUAUACAUAAAAAUAUUUACUUUGAUAUAAUUUUUAAAUAUUUCUUAUACUUUUUCAUAGUUUUUAUCUUUUAAUAUAUUAUUUCAAGUUUGAAACUUAGAUUCUGAAUGGUUCAAUAAAGAUUAUAGUCCACAGAUGUUGGUAAUUAUAAUAAAACUUAAAUCAAAAUCAAAUUAAUACUAAUGCAAAAAGAAAAUCAAUUCAACACUAAGAAUGAC